ACGUUUUAACUUUUCUGAUUUUAAGAUAUAAAAAACUAUUUGAAGUCUUGCUGCAACCACAUUCAUUUGGCUUGAAAGGGAAACUCAAUAGUAGGUCAAAAUUGAAAAACACUAUCCUUUAAAGAUUGUCUCUUUAAAUCAGAUGGUAUUUGCUUCCCCAUUCAGACCCUACUGUCAAUCUUCCAUCUUCUUCAAUCUGUGAUAUGCAAUUUCGAUUUCGUAGAAGCAGACGAAGACGAAAUAAGUUGUUGCACCAUUCGACAGAGGACAUCAUACCAAAAUUUGCGAUUUUUGGUGCGCAGUUGAGAAAAGACCUUUGACAGACGAACAUGACGCAAUCGAUUAAUCCACACCCGCUUUUGCAAUUUCACAGUCAAACUGUAACACAAUUUUUCUUCUUCUUUUCAUCUUUUAUUUUCCAUUUUGUUAGGGUCUGUAGGUACGGUUGAUGUGAGGAUCUCUAAUGCUCCUCCCCAAUCGGCUACUAAACUUCUGCUUCUCCGAUGAAUUACGACGGUACCGAUUAUUCCUCUCUAUUCUAUUGUUUAAAGGUAUUGUAUGUUGAUGUCUAUUUCUUUUAAAACUGCAGGGAUAUAAAUUUGUCACUAGAUUAGAAAUUGCAAGAACUUAUCAAUUCAAAACUCUUAAACCUGAAAGGGUGAAGAAAAAGAUUGAUCUUACCGUGCAGAAGAAUCUCUUGACCAAGUAUUUUUUGUAUCCUAUGAAGCAUUCUACUUUUGUUGACUUUAAUCUCUUGACCUAUCAUAUCAUAUUGGUCAAAAGAAAGAUGUUAUUGUGUAUAGAUUGAUGACAUGCGAAAUUGUUGAAGAAAAAAUCUACAGGAAACCGAUAAUUUUUUUGUAAAAUAUCAAUCUAUUGGUGAUAAAAUGAAGUAUCUAACGUAUGGAAUCAAUUGAAUUUUUGUGCACUUACAUUUCAUGAUUAGGUAUAUAAAGGAGGAUUAUUCAAAACAACUCUGAAUAGAAAGAACAAACUCGACACUUUAGCCAGCAGGUUCUUCACAAGAGUCAUGGUUUUGAUUUGCGGUUUCACAGAGAGAAAAAGAGAGCAAGUUUUUUUGGCUUAAAUGCACUAUUGGUCCCUGUAAGUUAGCGAGUUUUUGAUUUUCGUCCAUGUAAGUUUUUUUUAUUUGAGUCCCUAUAUCUUACUUUUUACUAGAGGUUUAGUCCAUAAAGCCAAAAUACGUAGGAAAAUCUGCAGGUUUCCUACGGAUUUUCCUGCGAAUUUUCCUACGGAUUUUGAUUUUAGGGACAAAAAUGAACGCGAAAGUGAAAUAUAGGGAUUCAGACCAAAAAAAACUUACAGGGACGAAAAAAAAACUCGCUAACUUACAGGGACCAAAAGUACAUUUAAGCUUUUUUUUUUUUCUUUUAAAAUGAAAAGAGAGAGUCAUGAUUGAUAUUCACGAUUCAUAUAGAGAGAAAAUGAAAUCAUGUUUUUCUAAGACGUGGUUUCGAUUUAAUUCAUAUGUGUGGUUUCGAUUUUUAAUUCUCAUGAACGUUUAACCCAUUCACAAUUCUCGUCUGUUGAGCAAAGGCUCGUUAAUGAGUAGAAAUGGUUGACAUGGGAAACAUGCAUAUUAACUGUGCAUGGAAUUGAUGAAACGUUUCUACAAUGAUGACUUCCACAUGUACCAUACACGUGGGGAGGAAAGUGACACACUUAUGUACACUCAAGUGUAAUUAUUGUUUUGAGAAACAAUUUAGACUGUUGGAAGACUCCUUUGAACUUCUAGUGAACCGUGUUCAUUGAAACUAGUUGUUUCAAUGCUUCUAAAGAAGAAACUUUGUAAAUUUUUCACACUUUUUAAUUUCUUCUUUUCUCAAGGGCCUUCUUUAGAGGACGCUUGUGCUCACUUCGUCUUCUUUAUAGGGGGUUCAAGAUUCUAGUUACUUAGUCGAUUAGUGGCUUCAACAUUAAAGUUGUAACUUCAGUAUAUAUUUAUGAAUGAUCCCAAAGUGCGGGUGUUUUUCUGGUGUCUAGAGAGUAACUUCAACAUAUAUUUAUGUUGAGGAAGUAACACACUGGUUGGAGGAACGAGCAAGAUGUAAGACUCAUGGUCUACAUUGCUUUGUCUUUGAUCAGUGACAUGAAUGGGGAAAAUAUUUGUAAAAAUUCCUUGCUAAUGCCGAAGAAUAUUUCUGGGUGGAUAGUGAUAUUUUGGAGUGUUGGUUUUUCUACAACUUCCUUACUUCUUCAUCGAUGACUGCUCUCUUCUCCUCGCCCACCUUGCGUUUCCUUUGAGAUAAGGGUUUCAUGGAGGGUGAAUGGAAAGUUGAUGACAUACCACUCUUGUAUCUAUACUUGGCAUAUCUAAGGGUGCCCAUGCAAAUCGAUCGAUGUUUCUCCUGAGUAAGGUGAUUAGAUCUUCUUCCUCAGAUUCAGAUAAAGAGGUGCCCAUCUUGAUGACUUGGUGAUGUAAUGAUCCAAUAUGAAAUUCUUUUAGGUCCUCUAUUGGAGUGAGUCUUUCAUUUUCGGUCCCCUAGUCUAGGGUCCCAGCUUACUAUGUCUGCAUCUCGUGCUUCUGGAUAGGGACAUCACGUCAGGCGACAUACUCCCUUCUCAUUUACUGGUUGUUUUGAUAGUAUUCUAGGGCAACCUCUUGAUCCCCUAGAAGAACUAAUCCAACUCGACCCUUAGGUAACAAGUAUUUUUGGAGGAGAUGACAAUUGUACAAGACCUCCAUAAUAAGGAGAUGAUACUUGUUUGCCUGACAGACCAACCAGAGAAGCUAGGAAUGCUCUGAUGUUGUCAAGGUCAAGAUGGAGCCUUUAAAAGGCACUCUAAAAUAAAACAUCAAUUGAGCUUCCAUGGUCAAUUAUCAUUCACCUUACAUCCAAAUCAUCAUAUUGCACCGUGACGACCAUGUGAUCAUUGUUGCAGGGGAAAAUGCCAAUUUCGUCUUUAUUUGAGAAGGUAAUUCUGGAUUCUAGUUAUUUCUCAAGGGUUUUUGGUGAUGUUAGCGGAUAUGAUGUUUGUUGUCAAAACCUUCUUGGCAUACUUUCUUUGGGUGAAACUAGAUUCUCCCUGCCGACGAAACCCCCAAUGAUGGUGUUGAAGGAGGUCUUGGAGCUUUGCUUAAACAUCCUUUUGGGAAGAUGGCGAAAACAAAUGUUAAAUAACAAUGACUGUGGCCCAAAUCAGUUUUAUUGGCCCUAUGGUGGGUGCCAUUUGUACUUGCUAAAAUAAAAAUAAGUGACAACCCCUAAUGGUUAAGCGAUAUUAUAAAUUUUUAGAUUUUUUUUAUAGGGUUUAGAGUUAAUUCAUACGGGGUGGUGAAAAGCUUUGUGUGUAUGGUAGUUGCAUAAACGAGAUUGAAUCCCUUCUAACUCUUAGAGCUGAGGUAUUUAUAAUAACUCCUGGGCAUGCAUUGCAUACCUUCAAGAAGUAACAACCGCUUUUAGGAGCGAGAGGGAAUGGGGAUAUGGACGAUGUGUUGCAUCAUUUGCAUUCCAUAUAUUUUUUGUGGGUCCUUCACAAAUAUAUCAUUGUAGCUUAAAGUAUUGAAAAAAAAUUCCUCUAUAAUUUAACUCGAUUAAAUACUUGAAUUCAACACUUAGUAUUAUUUUUAAUAGCAAAUAAAAUAUAUUAAUACAGGGGGUGUGUGUUAAACAAAUACAGCUACAAAUUGUAACUAAAAAGACACAAAAUAUACACUACAAAUACACCAAAGAGAAAAAAAGAAAAGAAAAACCACAAAUCAAAAAUAAAAAUUGCGUUAUUGAGUUCAUGUAUUACAAGAACAAACAAAAUUUGCAUGAUUGAUGAAAACUCACACAUUGUGCAAAACUCAUGAAAAAUAAUUUUAGUUUUACUAUUAGAUACAGAAGAGGCAGUACUUACAUUUCA